UACGGAGGGGGCUAGCGUUGUUCGGGAUUACUGGGCGUAAAGCGCACGUAGGCGGCUUUGCAAGUUAGAGGUGAAAGCCCGGGGCUCAACUCCGGAAUUGCCUUUAAAACUGCAUCGCUAGAAUUGUGGAGAGGUAAGUGGAAUUCCGAGUGUAGAGGUGAAAUUCGUAGAUAUUCGGAAGAACACCAGUGGCGAAGGCGACUUACUGGACACAUAUUGACGCUGAGGUGCGAAAGCGUGGGGAGCGAACAGG
rnacentral:rRNA from 1 species